CAGUAAUUUGAAGAAUGCCGUGGAAACUGCCAAAAUUGCCGAGACAGCUGUUACGUUCUGCGGCAAUUUUUAACGCCAUUGCCGUCGAUUGAUUUCAGGGAAAUUCGAGCCCUGGCGAAACCAUAACCUUUAUUUUACUACUGAAUGGCAAUUCAAAGAACUUUCUACUGCAAAGAUUUAGAAUUUCCACUUCAAUGACAUUUUACACUGAGUACGUGCAUGUCGUUCGAGACAUGUUCGAAAUUAUCAUUUUCCCUUUUAGAAUUGCUCAAAAUUUCCUUCAAACUUCCAUUAAAGAAAUUUACUUUAUACUUAUCAAAGGAAAACCGGUAGAAAUUUUUUCGGUAUACCGAUACCGGAAAUUUCUCGUACCGAACAUUCCUACAUCCACCCUACCAUUUUUUCAUUGCGGAACAAAUCAGAGGAUGAAUCCACAAACAACAUGUUUUCUGGUUUCAAGUCAGUGUGACAAAGAGACAUACUGUGUAAAA
rnacentral:lncRNA from 1 species